CGCGCAGGCGGUCUUGUCCGUCAGGUGUGAAAGCUCGGGGCUCAACCCCGGAAGUGCACUUGAAACAGCAAGACUUGAAUACGGGAGAGGAAAGCGGAAUUCCUGGUGUAGAGGUGAAAUUCGUAGAUAUCAGGAGGAACACCGAUGGCGAAGGCAGCUUUCUGGACCGAUAUUGACGCUGAGGCGCGAAGGCGUGGGGAGCGAACG
rnacentral:rRNA from 1 species